AUCUUUUCUGGUCGUGAAAAUGAUGAUUGGUUUAUUCACAGUCUCUGUGAGAUGCGCGGCCUCUCCUGUUACGCAAAGCGCACAAACUGUCUGACC
ensembl:snoRNA Small nucleolar RNA U13